CAUUCUCACCGGGGCCCCGGCGGCUGAGCAAAGCGGAAGCGGAAGGAGCUACGCGCCGGAAGCGGAAGGAACGUGCCACACAGAGACGGGAAACUCACAGGGAAGAGCAAGGGAAGGUGCGCCCCCAGGGCUCGGUCCGACCCUUGCGCACGCGGAGCCGGGCCUGACUUUAGUGCGUGUCCCACUGCGCUGCUCCAAGGGGGCGGCUGGGGCUACCCCCGGGCUGGAGCAGAGGCCGCCCUCCUUCGCGGGCAGGGCGGGUGAACGCGCUGGGCUGCCGACAGCAUGUCACCGUGACGGACGUGCACAGGCACAGCGCCGCAGCGGUGGUUUGGCAGCUCAGUGGAGGAUCUGAGCGUGUAAGCAGCUGCGCGGUGCGCAUGAACGGUCCCCACAGGCGGAGGGCUGCAGUUAGUGUGCUUGCGCCAGAGCCUGCCCCUCUUUACUAAAGAUUGCCUGUGUGCCUGCCUAGCGUGGAGCUGUCUGGAAAUAGAGGCUCUCGCUGUUAUCCAUGGGGUGCGGUUUGAUUUUAAAAAGGCCCAGAGUGAGUGAGGCCCAGGAUUUUAGAGGCAUAGCGGGUGAGGCAAUCUCUUUUAUUGGACCGCUUCUGUUGGUGAGAAAGACACGCUUUUUAGCUACACGUAGCUCUUCCUGGGGCCUGAAGAAGAGCUGUAUGUAGGUGCAAAGUUUGUCUUUCUCACCAACAGAAAUUGGUUCAAUGAAAGAUAUUUCCUCAGAGGCUUUGUCACAUUGAGUCCAGGCAGGUGGUCACCAGGCGCUCUGAAUGCAGUGCCAGUCACCACCCUCUUUCUUGGGAGCAACAAUGACUCAUUCAACUGAAUGUUCAGUGCUGUUAUGUAGUGUGCAUAAAUAAACUGAUAAGGUAUAGAGGAGAUAAAUUGGGUGGAUUGGUGGGUGAGAUGGGGUGAGCUGCUACAGCAGAGUCAUGGAGGAAGAAUUUACAGUGCACAGGGGAAUUUGUCAUUGUGAGGCUGCAGCUGGAGAUUCAUGAUUACUGCCAUGCCAUUACAAGAAUUCGCUAAAGUUUCAGGGUUAGGAGAGCAGCCCUACUCAGUACAGCAAUAGUCCACAUGCAGUGUAUAGUGUUAAUUCCCUUAUUCCCAUAACUGCUUUAAUAAGAUAUACUUAUUGAUGCUUCAGCAUUGAAGUGCCUCUGCACAGCACCACUGUCCAUGGUAACGGCAAGGGGCAUAAUGGAUUUUUGGUUGCACAAAAUAAUACGAUUUUUGUCCCCAUAACAUGGGUAGGAGUAUAGGGCAAUGGCACUGAAUAUUGUUACUAUACUGCUACAGGCAGUGGUAGUUUUAGUUGACAUCUCAGUGCUGAGAGUAAUAAAGGUAUAGAGAACACAGCUGCUAUUAGCAUCAUGAAGCCACCUGAGCCCAUAUACCAUUAACUUGUUUACUGCGUUGGUGUCAUCCAGUCUUACCAGGGAGUGGCAUGGAAUGGCCUCCUACCACAAAGGAAGAAAUAAGGCAGCCAUCCCUAGAAACCUUUGGGAGAGGAUUGCAGUCUCUCUCUGAAAUUUCAUUGAGGUUACAAAAGACAUCUCUGUAUGCAUAAAUAAGAUGUUCUACAUAGCCCUCCCUCACACUCCCCCAGCCUAACCCAACAGCAGAAUGAAAAAUAGAUACCCACUCUACCUCUGUGUGUUGUACUUAUACCUCUUCUCAUACAAGUAAAACAAUGAAGUCAAUACCUGUGUUAGUUAACUGGGGGAUGGACUAGGCGCUGUCUUUUAAACCCUGUAAGGAAGAAUGCAUGCACACACUUAUCCAAGGUCCCUUUCCCUUCUUGGGGCUCAUCUGUGCUUGUCUGCUGGGACUGGCUAGAUCAGUGGUCCCCAAACUGCAGGACACACCACCUCAGGGGGCCAUGGAGGAAUGUUCAGGAGGAUGCAGCAGGGCUGAGGUCAGCCGCCAUGAGGGGGAGGGAGGGAGCGCCGUGUAAACCAGGCCUAAGUUUUUUCAAGCUCGUUACUUCCAGGCCAGCUGCUACUAAAAUGAUGUGAUUACAACUCAGCCAUCUUUAAGGUCAUUCAUGAGAUCUGUUUCUCCAUGGAUUCUACAUAUAAUUCACUGUUCGCUUCAGUACUUCUUAUAUGCUAGUUAGAAACUGCUAUUCAAGGGGUUCCAACAUGUCUAAUUUUCAAAUUCAAAAGAUAGCUAGAGAUGGCAAAGACCUUGUAUUGCUGAAUCCAUCUCCCUACAAGUGCUGGAUUGCUGUUUUCUCCUAAAACAGACUUGAAGGAGACAAGCAAUAACUUUCUCCUCUUUAGAGACAUUCCUACCUGAAUGAUUGUACCUCCAGGGGCUCCUUACGACUCUGUCCUCGUAGCCUGUGUACAUCCUUGGCCGCUGCUCUCAUCAUUUUAUCCGCUUUCAGCUCACAUUUGUGUUCUGUUUUCUCAGCCUAAUUGAGUGAUGAAGAGAGUGAAAUCUUAUGUACAAUUUAGAAGAUACCAACUCAUUCUUCCCUAAACCAACAAGCUCAUGUUAUGGUAAAAAGGUUAUUUCAUUUGUAUGUUGAAGAGGAGAAAUAAAGGCAUUCUGGUGAGAUCAACUAUGUGGGGCCAUAAACCAUAGAAGCUGGAAUAAGAUUUAAUAGGAGUUUUCCACCUCUAAUAUGCCCAUUCAUUUUGAAUACAAUGCAGCCCUUCUGCAAUGUCUAUUCCAGACUAUUGGCUGGAAUUGUGGCUGUUGACCCCUGGGCAACCCCUCUGUCUGGGGUUUGAGACCAGCAGAUCAGCUUCAAUGAGCAUCCAGCAGUACCAUCAGCAGCUCAAUCCCAAAAGCCCCCUGCAUGCCAGCCUGUUCAGAGCCAGAAUGAAACCCUUGCACAGCAGAUUCAAAAGCCCCCUUGCACAUCAGUACCGUCUGCCUCAAUUCCAGCAUACGGGCUCUUGCAAAGUCUGUGUGGUAUAGAGGGAGCCCUUAGCACCUGGGUGGACUUCAUGCAGAAGGAAUAUAAGUCAAUGGCACAGUGUGUGUGUGUGUGUGGGGGCAUUUACACGAUUAGGAAGCUGAAGUAUAAGAGGGAUGAGAUGUGUGCCUUUCAUAUGAAAGAGGAUGAAAGCACUGUGCCUCCAGAUGCACUCUCUUUGGACUAACCUGGGGAACUAGUUAAGAUAAAAAAAAAAAGUUGAAAGUUUAGCUAACAAUUAGAAGUCUAUCAUCAAAGGGAUUAUCAUCAAAUAAAGAACAAUCCCAUUUUUUUUGUGAAAUUGCCAGAAACCUGCCAACUUUGCUAUUGCCUCUACUUCAGCUCAGCUGCUGAAAAAUUGACAGUAAGUAAGUAAGAAAUGCGUGUAAGAGGAUCUUGCCCACAUGCUCAGGGUCUAACAUGCUUACUUGUUCAUAACAUGAUUUUAAAACCUUUUACACCGUGUAUCAAGAGAUCCCUUCCGCAGGCAGCUUUUAAAAAUAACAAAACAACAACUGAAAUAUGGCUCUGUGCAGGCUUGAUCCAAAAGACUCUAGCCAACCGAGCAUCUCAGGGCAAGAUCCUCUGACCAGACAUAUUUCAAUUGUUGUUGUUGUUUUUAAAAGCUGCCUGCGGAAGGGAUCUCUUGAUACAUGGAGUAAAAGGUUUUUAAAUCAUGUUAUGAAAAAGUACAAAGAUGCCUUACACACAUUUCUUACUGUCAAUUUUUCAGCAGCUGAGCGAUGGUUCUUCAGAGGACUUGGAGGUUUUGGACACCAACAGUUCCAAAGGACCAAGCGGUUUGGGCCUGAUCUGUUUUUGCCCAGACACAAAACCAGAUGCUCCACAGAAUGCUGAAACAGCGGAGGACGCUUAUUCUGUAGGCUUGUACUAUCUAAAGUUGAGGGAGAAAUUCGGUAUUAAGCAGGUGCGAGUUCAUAACUGUGAUGCAUGUAAUUGUACGAGCGGCUGUGCAACGGAAUCAUCAAGCACUGCCUGAGAGAGAAACAAAAUGAGUAUUGUCCUAGGUGUGCCAUAGAUGACCCUGGUCAGAGGCAUCAUGUCUCCGUGUACUGGUCUUUAGAUGAUGUGAAUUGUAAAAUUAAAGAAAUUAGCGGUAGUUUGUGUAUGGAGAGUGUGUUAAAUGUCAUCAUCACGCUGGGAUACACACGGCAGUGCCUCUGUUUAACCCAGAAACAUUUAGCUCUAAGGGCAGAAUUGGUGGGCAAAGUGACAGAGGCAGAGGACCCAGAUAGCGUUUUAGAUGAAAGACUCAAAUCGACAAAUAAAUGUUUAAUGCAAAAUGUUGAACGUCUUCUUCGUUCAGCAAAAUUACAAAAUCUUGCUAAGAAAAAACACCAACAGUUAGAGCAUGUUUUGGGAACAAAAUGGGCUGUGUUGUAAAAUAAAAUGUCAGUUGAAAAUAA